CCCUUGUAUCAGAGACCACAGCUAUUAAAACAAGCAGUGGCAAAUAUAAAGAUAUUUGGACAGUACAGGAGAUACAUAGUGUUAGGAAAGUAUAGAACUUACAUAAAGAAAAUAAGUUGCCUCUAGAGCAUUAACCUCUGGGCCCCUGAGUAUUCCAAGGUUAGUUUUUUUAGAGAAAUAAUUUUUAAAGUGGCUGUAGAUUGAUCGAGGAGAUUGGAUAGAAGGUUAUAGAGAGAACCAAGGAAAAGGUCCUUCAACCUCCUGUUCGUGAUGUGGGCUUUCUCUACUGCUGUCAUCCUCUCUUAUCAAACUGUGUUGCCAGAACGGGCAAGGGCCACAGCCAUGGAAGAGGGGCUACCAAAUGGAACUCCAACCUAAGGGCUGGGACCAGGAUCUACCCAUCCCCAUCAAGCGAGGAUUGAUACUAACUACAGCCACUCCUGCGGGGGCCCAGGGCCUCAUUAUCCUAGGGGAAGAGGAGAUGGAGGUGAGAGGAAGAGGAUGGAUGAAUGUGGAAGGCCUUCUGCAGCUUAGCAUGCAAUGGUCAUUUCCUGUAUGCAAGGUCUUCUGCUAUGUUCUGUGCAGGAAAUCAAGAAUGAGAAACAAUUUUGGCCCUAGAGGCCUUACAAAUAUAUCUUCCUAAUUACAAGGUUAUAGUCCUUUGGGAAUUGCAAGUUCCCUUGAAAAUUCACACAAUCCUAACAUGUGUUGUGCCUAGUUUGAUGUGUUCUUAAACUAUUACUAGCUAACACUUCUUACUGCAGAAUUUCUGUGGAAAUGAGACAUAGGUAUUUCUACAGGAUAAAUGAGACGAGUGAAAAGAGGUGUUGAAAAGGAAAACGAAAGGAUGAAACAGAUACAAUUCCUACUUCGCUGUUUUUCAAAGUGCUUAUAGUGAGUGCUCUCCGUUUCUCACCCGAAGGGGAGAAACUUCCUUGGCCUUUUUCUUCAAGUAAAUAGAUUAAAUCUCUCUUAUUGCUAUUGCUAUUUGACCUUUUUCAUGAAGCAUAGCAAAGAGUUUUUCAUAAUCCUAAUAUAUACUUAUGGUUUGUGACUAAUGAAAAGAAUUAUUUCCAUCCUCUAAAUUAAUAGGCUUGCCUCCCUGCCCAGUAAGUUGUUCCUUCCUAUACAGCAUUCAGUAAAAUAUUUGCUGAGUAACUAAAAUGUCCAAGACACCUAUUUCAGCAAUAUAUGAACUAGAAACAAAACAAUAACUACAAACAUGACUUAUCUCUUCAAGGAAAGGAGUCAAUAUUCUUGUACGGAAAAAGGAUCGUAGAAAAAUACCUAAUAGCAUAGUGUGACAGAAAUUGCGUGGAAAUUACUACAAGGCAGCAAGUGAGAUAGACCCUAAGCUGAGCAGACAAUAAGGGUAUGGCAAUCCUAAAUCUACAUGGUGUGGUGAUUAAGUCCUGCGUCCAUGGAGUCAGAAAGAGCUGGGUCCUGACUCUACUUAUUAACUGUGCAACCUUGAAUAAGUCACUUAUACCAUGAGCUCCAAGUAUCUCAUCCUUAAAAUAGAUACAUUUCAGCACCUUAUUGAAUUUCUUCAGGCUAGGCUCUAGGGAUACAACGGUGAUCAUGACAGUUAUGGUCUCAGGCCUUAUUCAAUAAACAGCAAAGAAUCCAAAUUGGGAUAAGUAUUCUGAAAGGGAGAUAUGGGAAUGAAAACGAAAAGUAAACCAAAAAGUAAAACCUUUCUGAGACCAGUGAUUUUGACAGACACUGGAUUAUAGAGGACCUGAUAAACGACAAUAAGGAUUUUAAACUUUAACCUAAGCAGGAGAAGAAUUGAUUGAAGGGGUUUAAAUACACUUCCUUUACAGAAGUCUUGCGACUGUUACAUGAGAAAUUGGUAUGUAACAUUUUUAGUGCCUUCCUGAUAAAGCCUUUGCACUUCUAACUACUGCGUGAGUUACUCUACAGGGAAUAUA
rnacentral:lncRNA from 1 species